GACGAACGCUGGCGGCGUGCUUAACACAUGCAAGUCGAACGGAAAGGCCCUGCUUUUGUGGGGUGCUCGAGUGGCGAACGGGUGAGUAACACGUGAGUAACCUGCCCUUGACUUUGGGAUAACUUCAGGAAACUGGGGCUAAUACCGGAUAGGAGCUCCUGCUGCAUGGUGGGGGUUGGAAAGUUUCGGCGGUUGGGGAUGGACUCGCGGCUUAUCAGCUUGUUGGUGGGGUAGUGGCUUACCAAGGCUUUGACGGGUAGCCGGCCUGAGAGGGUGACCGGCGACAUUGGGACUGAGAUACGGCCCAGACUCCUACGGGAGGCAGCAGUGGGGAAUAUUGCACAAUGGGCGCAAGCCUGGUGCAGCAACGCCGCGUGCGGGAUGACGGCCUGCGGGUUGUAAACCGCUUUCGCCUGUGACGAAGCGUGAGUGACGGUAAUGGAUAAAGAAGCACCGGCUAACUACGUG
rnacentral:rRNA from 1 species